UUUACCCGACUGCCAAAGGAGGAGGGUAAUGUUUUUCGAGUGUAUAUAUGUAUGUAUGUCUGUUUCUUUGUGGCCUCCUGUAGCCUAAACGGCUUGAUGGAUUUUGAUGUAUGAGGUAUCGUUAGAUUCGUCUUGAUCACGGGAGUGUCAUAGAAUACAUUUUAUCCCGAAAUUAUAAAUAAAAAAUUUAUUAUUAUAAAAAAACAAAAAACCCGACUGCACACUAAAAAGAGGAAAACAAGCACCACAAGAAAUAUUUGUUGAUGGUAAGUAUAGCAGGCGGGGACCAACUUGACCGCCACCAACGAAAAUACCUACCUAAGUAACAUUCUGCUAAAUAGUGAACUUAACAACCAACAACCAAAAUGACUAUAAGUAACCCUGUGUUGGUCCCCGCCUGCGAUACUUACCA